ACGGGUGAGUAACACGUGGGUAACCUGCCCAUCAGAGGGGGAUAACAUUCGGAAACGGAUGCUAAAACCGCAUAGGUUCUUGAGCUGCAUGGCUCGAGAAGGAAAAGAGGCUUCGGCUUCUGCUGAUGGAUGGACCCGCGGUGCAUUAGCUAGUUGGUGAGGUAACGGCUCACCAAGGCCGUGAUGCAUAGCCGACCUGAGAGGGUGAUCGGCCACAUUGGGACUGAGACACGGCCCAAACUCCUACGGGAGGCAGCAGUAGGGAAUCUUCCGCAAUGGACGAAAGUCUGACGGAGCAACGCCGCGUGAGUGAUGAAGGUCUUCGGAUUGUAAAGCUCUGUUAAUCGGGACGAAAGAGUUCUGUGUGAAUAAUGCAGAAAAGUGACGGUACCGGAAUAGAAAGCCACGGCUAACUACGUGCCAGCAGCCGCGGUAAUACGUAGGUGGCAAGCGUUGUCCGGAAUUAUUGGGCGUAAAGCGCGCGCAGGCGGCCUAUCCAGUCUGUCUUAAAAGUUCGGGGCUCAACCCCGUGAUGGGAUGGAAACUAGUAGGCUAGAGUAUCGGAGAGGAAAGCGGAAUUCCUAGUGUAGCGGUGAAAUGCGUAGAUAUUAGGAAGAACACCAGUGGCGAAAGGCGGCUUUCUGGACGAAAACUGACGCUGAGGCGCGAAAGCCAGGGGAGCGAACGGGAUUAGAUACCCCGGGUAGUCCUGGCCGUAAAC
rnacentral:rRNA from 1 species